rnacentral:rRNA from 1 species
GAUGAACGCUGGCGGCGUGCCUAAUACAUGCAAGUCGAGCGAACGGACGAGAAGCUUGCUUCUCUGAUGUUAGCGGCGGACGGGUGAGUAGCACGUGGAUAACCUACCUAUAAGACUGGGAUAACUUCGGGAAACCGGAGCUAAUACCGGAUAAUAUUUUGAACCGCAUGGUUCAAAAGUGAAAGACGGUCUUGCUGUCACUUAUAGAUGUAUCCGCGCUGCAUUAGCUAGUUGGUAAGGUAACGGCUUACCAAGGCAACGAUGCAUAGCCGACCUGAGAGGGUGAUCGGCCACACUGGAACUGAGACACGGUCCAGACUCCUACGGGAGGCAGCAGUAGGGAAUCUUCCGCAAUGGGCGAAAGCCUGACGGAGCAACGCCGCGUGAGUGAUGAAGGUCUUCGGAUCGUAAAACUCUGUUAUUAGGGAAGAACAUAUGUGUAAGUAACUGUGCACAUCUUGACGGUACCUAAUCAGAAAGCCACGGCUAACUACGUG